GUGUCAGCCGCCGCGGUAAUACAGAGGUCUCAAGCGUUGUUCGGAUUCAUUGGGCGUAAAGGGUGCGUAGGCGGUAGGGUAAGUCGGAUGUGAAAUCCCGGGGCUCAACCCCGGAACUGCAUUCGAUACUGCCUUGCUUGAGCACUGGAGAGGAGACUGGAAUUUACGGUGUAGCAGUGAAAUGCGUAGAUAUCGUAAGGAAGACCAGUGGCGAAGGCGAGUCUCUGGACAGUUGCUGACGCUGAGGCACGAAGGCCAGGGGAGCAAACGGGAUUAGAUACCCCGGUAGUCC
rnacentral:rRNA from 1 species